CUACGGGUGGCAGCAGUGGGGAAUCUUGCGCAAUGGGCGAAAGCCUGACGCAGCAACGCCGCGUGCGGGAUGACGGCCUUCGUGGUUGUAAACCGCUUUCAGCAGGGACGAAAAUGACGGUACCUGCAGAAGAAGCUCCGGCUAACUACGUCCCAGCAGCCGCGGUAAUACGUAGGGGGCAAGCGUUGUCCGGAAUCAUUGGGCGUAAAGAGCUCGUAGGCGGUUCAGUAAGGCGGGUGUGAAAGCUCCGAGCUCAACUCGGAGAGGCCACUCGAUACUGCUGUGACUAGAAUCCAGUAGGGGAGUGUGGAAUUCCUGGUGUAGCGGUGAAAUGCGCAGAUAUCAGGAGGAACACCAGCGGCGAAGGCGGCACUCUGGGCUGGUAUUGACGCUGAGGAGCGAAAGUGUGGGUAGCAAACAGGAUUAGAUACCCGGGUAGUC
rnacentral:rRNA from 1 species